AGUCUUAUAGUUUAAUAAAAACAUUAAAUUGCAAAUUUAAUAUUGAGCAACAAUCUAAGACUU
rnacentral:tRNA from 1 species